rnacentral:pre_miRNA from 1 species
AUCACCUGGGAUCUUGUUAAAAUGCAGAUAUUGAUUCAGUGGGCUCUGCAAGGACCCUGAAGUUUUGCAUUUCUAACAAGCUCCCAGGUGAGGCAGG